CCUACGGGGGGCUGCAGUGAGGAAUAUUGGUCAAUGGGAGGAAUCCUGAACCAGCCAUGCCGCGUGCAGGACGACGGCUCUACGAGUUGUAAACUGCUUUUGUACCGGGGUAAAAUGCUCUUCGAGUAGGGUUUUGAAAGUACGGUACGAAUAAGGAUCGGCUAACUCCGUGACAGCAGCCGCGGUAAUACGGAGGAUCCGAGCGUUGGCCGGAUUGAUUGGGUUUAAAGGGUGCGUAGGUUGUGUUAUAAGUUAGCUGUGAAGUACCGAUGCUCAACAUCGGGGCUGCAGGUAAUACUGUAGGACUAGAGAUCGGAUGCGGCAGGCGGAAUGUGUAGUGUAGCGGUGAAAUGCAUAGAUAUUACACAGAACACCGAUUGCGAAGGCAGCUUGCUAGGCCGCAUCUGACACUGAUGCACGAAAGCGUGGGGAUCGAACAGGAUUAGAUACCCCAGUAGUC
rnacentral:rRNA from 1 species